UACGUAGGGUGCGAGCGUUAAUCGGAAUUACUGGGCGUAAAGCGUGCGCAGGCGGUUCGUUAAGUUCGAUGUGAAAGCCCCGGGCUCAACCUGGGAAUGGCAUUGGAAACUGGCGGACUCGAGUGUGGCAGAGGGGGGUGGAAUUCCGCGUGUAGCAGUGAAAUGCGUAGAGAUGCGGAGGAACACCGAUGGCGAAGGCAGCCCCCUGGGCUAACACUGACGCUCAGGCACGAAAGCGUGGGGAGCAAACAGG
rnacentral:rRNA from 1 species